CCGUCUCGACCUGCUGCGGGCAGAUGAAGUGGAUGUGGCUGUCGAUCCCUCCCGCCGUGCAGAUCAUGCCUUCGCCGGCGAUGACCUCGGUUCCCGGCCCGAUCACCAGCCGGGGGUCGACGUCGUCCUGCGUCAGCGGGUUGCCGGCCAUGCCCACGGCCACGAUCCGCCCGUUGCGGAUGCCGAUGUCCCCCUUGACGAUCCCCCAGUGGUCGAUGACCACCGCGUUGGUGAUCACGAGGUCGCAAUGCUCGGGGCUCAUCGGCUCGUCGAACGG
rnacentral:sRNA from 1 species